rnacentral:rRNA from 1 species
AAUCAACGCUGGCGGCGUGCCUAACACAUGCAAGUCGAACGCGAAAGCCCUUUCGGGGGUAAGUAGAGUGGCGUCCGGGUGAGUAACACGUAGGUAAUCUGCCUUCGGGUGGGGAAUAACCAGUCGAAAGAUUGGCUAAUACCGCAUAAUGCAGCGGCACCUAAUGGUGAUUUAGUUGUUAAAGCGGGGGAUCGUAAGACCUCGCGCCUGAAGAGGAGCCUGCGGCAGAUUAGCUAGNGGUGAGGUAAUGGCUCACCAAGGCUUCGAUCUGUA